GCUGAAACAGUGGUUUUAAUUUUGCAUCUUAAAGGUUGUGUAUUUUGUGAAAAUUAGUAUCUAGUUAUAGAUAAAUACAUAUUGUGUUUUUGCAAAGUCUGGACAGAGCAGUUAUAACACAAAAUAUACUAAAGUCACCCGAGGCGAAUGCGAGGUUUAAAAAAAAUUGAGUGUAAAACAAAGUCAGUUUGGUGCAUGAACAUUUUUUUAGUGGGAUAAUCCUGGUAAAAAAGUUAACUCAUUAAUUUUUUAAAGGAAGGAUGAAAAAUUAUACAAUGCAAUGCCAAUUUUCUAAUGUUGUAAUUCAGAAUCAGUCAUGAUCCUUAUAUAACUUUUAAAAGCGACACACAAUAGCUCAAGUAUUCAUAAAAUAGGGACAUGCAUCAAUCUCUUAGUCAUCAUAUGCGGAUUCAGUACGCG
rnacentral:lncRNA from 1 species